UGGUGGUGCAUGGCCGUUCUUAGUUGGUGGAGUGAUUUGUCUGGUUAAUUCCGAUAACGAACGAGACCUCAGCCAUCUUAAUAGCCGUCGCUAGCCCGCUAGCGCUCUUCGGAGUUCGGCUUCUUAGAGGGACCGCCUGCUGCAGCGGGAGGAAGUUUGAGGCGAUAACAGGUCAGUGAUGCCCCGAGAUGCUCUGGGCUGCACGCGCGCUACAAUGGUGCACUCAGCGAGUGCCCGGCUUGGCAAGGCUAGGCAACCUUCAAUGUGCAUCUUGGUUGGGAUAGAUGAUUGCAAUUCU
rnacentral:rRNA from 1 species